UGCCUAAUACAUGCAAGUCGAGCGAACCAAUAAGAAUGCUUGCUUUUUGUUGGUUAGCGGCGGACGGGUGAGUAACACGUGGGUAACCUGCCUGUAAGACCGGGAUAACUCCGGGAAACCGGUGCUAAUACCGGAUAGAUUAUCUUUCCACCUGGAAGAGAUAAGGAAAGAUGGCUUUUGCCAUCACUUACAGAUGGGCCCGCGGCGCAUUAGCUAGUUGGUGAGGUAACGGCUCACCAAGGCGACGAUGCGUAGCCGACCUGAGAGGGUGAUCGGCCACACUGGGACUGAGACACGGCCCAGACUCCUACGGGAGGCAGCAGUAGGGGAUCUUCCGCAAUGGACGAAAGUCUGACGGAGCAACGCCGCGUGAGUGAAGAAGGUCUUCGGAUCGUAAAGCUCUGUUGUUAGGGAAGAACAAGUAUCGGAGGAAAUGCCGGUACCUUGCACGGUACCUGACGAGAAAGCCACGGCUAACUACGUGCCAGCAGCCGCGGUAAUACGUAGGUGGCAAGCGUUGUCCGGAAUCAUCGGGCG
rnacentral:rRNA from 1 species